rnacentral:rRNA from 1 species
UNUGCUGUGAAAGGCUGGGGCUUAACCCUGGUUUUGCAGUGGGUACGGGCUAACUAGAGUGCAGUAGGGGAGACUGGAAUUCCUGGUGUAGCGGUGGAAUGCGCAGAUAUCAGGAGGAACACCGAUGGCGAAGGCAGGUCUCUGGGCUGUAACUGACGCUGAGAAGCGAAAGCAUGGGGAGCGAACAGGAUUAGAUACCCUGGUAGUCCAUGCCGUAAACGUUGGGCACUAGGUGUGGGGGACAUUCCACGUUUUCCGCGCCGUAGCUAACGCAUUAAGUGCCCCGCCUGGGGAGUACGGCCGCAAGGCUAAAACUCAAAGAAAUUGACGGGGGCCCGCACAAGCGGCGGAGCAUGCGGAUUAAUUCGAUGCAACGCGAAGAACCUUACCAAGGCUUGACAUAUACUGGACUGCGUCAGAGAUGGCGUUUCCCUUCGGGGCUGGUAUACAGGUGGUGCAUGGUUGUCGUCAGCUCGUGUCGUGAGAUGUUGGGUUAAGUCCCGCAACGAGCGCAACCCUCGUUCUAUGUUGCCAGCACGUGAUGGUGGGGACUCAUAGGAGACUGCCGGGGUUAACUCGGAGGAAGGUGGGGAUGACGCCAAAUCAUCAUGCCCCUUAUGUCUUGGGCUUCACGCAUGCUACAAUGGCCGGUACAGAGGGUUGCGAUACUGUGAGGUGGAGCUAAUCCCUAAAAGCCGGUCUCAGUUCGGAUUGGGGUCUGCAACUCGACCCCAUGAAGUCGGAGUCGCUAGUAAUCGCAGAUCAGCAACGCUGCGGUGAAUACGUUCCCGGGCCUUGUACACACCGCCCGUCAAGUCACGAAAGUUGGUAACACCCGAAGCCGGUGGCCUAACCCUGGUGGGG